rnacentral:rRNA from 1 species
UACAUGCCGUAUUAAGGCGAAACCGCGAAUGGCUCAUUAAAUCAGUUAUGGUUCCUUGGAUCGUACCUUACUACUUGGAUAACUGUGGCAAUUCUAGAGCUAAUACAUGCAGCAGAGCUCCGACCUUCGGGGACGAGCGCUUUUAUUAGACCAAAACCAAUCGGACCUCGCGUCCGUAUCAUGUGGUGACUCUGUAUAACUUUGGGCUGAUCGCACGGGCCCGUCCCGGCGACGUAUCUUUCAAGUGUCUGCCUUAUCAACUGUCGAUGGUAGGUUACGCGCCUACCAUGGUCGUAACGGGUGACGGGGAAUCAGG